UCAACUUGAGAGUUUGAUCCUGGCUCAGAACGAACGCUGGCGGCAGGCCUAACACAUGCAAGUCGAGCGCACCUUCGGGUGAGCGGCGGACGGGUUAGUAACGCGUGGGAACGUACCCUUUUCUACGGAAUAGCCUUUGGAAACGAAGAGUAAUACCGUAUACGCCCUUUGGGGGAAAGAUUUAUCGGAGAAGGAUCGGCCCGCGUUAGAUUAGAUAGUUGGUGGGGUAACGGCCUACCAAGUCUACGAUCUAUAGCUGGUUUUAGAGGAUGAUCAGCAACACUGGGCCUGAGACACGGCCCAGACUCCUACGGGAGGCAGCAGUGGGGAAUCUUAGACAAUGGGCGCAAGCCU
rnacentral:rRNA from 1 species